ensembl:rRNA 5S_rRNA 5S ribosomal RNA
GCUUACGGCCAUACCACCUUAGGCACGCCCGAUCUCGUCUGAUCUCGGAAGCUAAGCAGGGUCGGGCCUGGUUAGUACUUGGUGGGUGACCGCCUGGGAAUACCAGGUGCUGUAAGCA